UGAGGAAUAUUGGUCAAUGGGCGAGAGCCUGAACCAGCCAAAUCGCGUGAAGGAAGACUGCCUUAUGGGUUGUAAACUUCUUUUGUACAGGAAUAAAAAGGAGGACGCGUCCUCCAUUGCAUGUACUGUACGAAUAAGCAUCGGCUAACUCCGUGCCAGCAGCCGCGGUAAUACGGAGGAUGCGAGCGUUAUCCGGAUUUAUUGGGUUUAAAGGGUGCGCAGGCGGGCUUUUAAGUCAGCGGUGAAAUCUCGACGCUUAACGUCGAAACUGCCGUUGAAACUGGGAGUCUUGAGUAUAGAUGAAGUAGGCGGAAUUCGUUGUGUAGCGGUGACAUGCUUAGAUAUAACGAGGAACUCCGAUUGCGUAGGCAGCUUACUAAGCUAUAACUGACGCUCAAGCACGAAAGCGUGGGGAUCAAAACAGGAUUAGAUACCCUGGUAGUCCACGCCGUAAAACGAUGAUUACUAGUUGUAUGCGAUAUACCGUAUGUGACUAAGCGAAAGCGAUAAGUAAUCCACCUGGGGAGUACGCCGGCAACGGUGAAACUC
rnacentral:rRNA from 1 species